rnacentral:tmRNA from 1 species
GGGGUUGUACUGGUUUCGACGGGGGUUUAGAAAUUAUGGUAGCCGUCGGCGGACCUGAACCGCCUUAACAACGAGGAAUUAAAUAUAAACGCAGACGAAAAUUACGCGUACGCUGCCUAAUGGCAGCUGUCAGCCCUAGGUUCACCGCGACUUAGGUGUCUGGCAUCGACCUUGCGGUAAACUCACUUGCCAAAGCUUUGAGGUAGGUGAAAAUUCAUGAAGCUACCUGGGGGAGUAGCCUGUCCAUGGGCGACUUUUCUGGGGAAAUCUAAAACAUAGGACUGUGACGGGAGAAGCUGUAAUGGAAGAGCCUUCGGACGCGGGUUCGAUUCCCGCCAGCUCCACUU